UGUAACUUUCUCUUGUAUGGACAUAUUUUAAAAUCACUUGCUACAUGUGUUCCACAUACGAAGACGACGUGUCGCGUGCAAGACCCAUGUCCCUACCUCUAAGGUGAAAGAUACACUUAGUGUUUAUUCACAAGGGAAUUCUGAAUAUAAGGACAUAACAGUGUAGGUUGUCAAGUAUGGGUGGUAAUUUUUUAUGUUCAGAGGCAAUUUAAAAUAACUUGCCAUAUGUAUUUGACACGUAAAGGCAAGAUCAACUUUUCAUGUACUGACCUUGUUCGUAGGUCAAUGUCACAUUCGGGGGCAUUCGUCACAUACUGUGACAGCUCUUGUUAAUUUAAUUCUUAAACCUGGCCAAAUCAUACCAUGUUAUGAGUUCUUCCAACUGUGUAUAAUAAUGCUACAACAAUCGACCUUUUAUCAGCACAUUGUUUUUCAAUUUCUGCCUUUUUAUAGAAAAUGGGCGUAUGGCUUUUAAGGAUAUUCUUGUUUAUUAACUAGGAAAUGAUCGUUAAUAUCGGUUGAUCAAUUCGUAUAUUUUUGUUUUUAGAUUUCAAAUUGCUAACCGACAAUGAAUGUCCAUCACUUCACCAUUACCAGAAGACUCUCAUGUCCCCAUCAAGAUAGAACUGUCUCGGUCACUUUCGUUGCUGGUAAGAAUGAGCACAACCAUCUUUAAAACGUCACCAGAGUGUCAACUGAUCUGACCAAAUAUUAUCAUGACCACCUCAUCUACUUGCCAGACCUAAAGACCUUACUUACCUGACACAUCCACCCUUCUUGCACUGGCUUGAUGAUGACAACUUCACCAAUGCAUUUCUCUUGACAUCACACUUCAAGACUCGAAUGAGGAGGCUGGUGAUGAUCCAGAUUUUGAACCUGACUUCAACUUGUCAAGUGUACUGUAAAAGUGUGCUGACAUCUGGGCUGCUCUCCUCUGUCAUAUGACAGGUGUGCAUGAGUGGCUCCUCCCGAUUCAGGAUAUAUAUUAUUACGAGUGUUCAUGGACCCCAGAAUCCAGAGGAGAGGAAUAAACCAUGGCUAUACAAGAAAAAACAACUGUAGUACCCUUAAAGCCCUCACAGCCAUUGUCCUUGACAACACCAUCUAUCAGAGAUGUCAUACUAUCUAGACUUCAGCUUUGGUCAAAAUGGCGGCGGUUGGUGGAACUACUGGAAGACCGAAAAACGGAAUACACCUAAAUGGCUGCUGUGUUGAAAUAUUUUUUGGCUGGACAAAGUACACUGUGUUGUGUAGGAAGAAAUGCAGAAUGGUACCAUCAUUUACUUAAGCCACCAUUCCUCUCACAGACAAAAGUCUCAUGGGGACGGUCCCUACAGUUUACAGCAAAGCUCUCAAUUGUAGCCCUACAAAUUUCGGAUACUGAUGAGGGCAUAGCUUUGGUCACCGGGCGGGUUUUCCAGCCUUGUGGAAUCAACAUUUCCAGCUGAACUGGGCCCAGGAAUAAUAUCAGACUCUUUAGCAGCAUGGAUCUCUUUCUUGGGGAUGGAAUCAAAGAUGGCUCCAGAGAUCAUCCAUGACUGUGGCACAUGGACAUUAUAGAUAGUGACUGUAAAGAAAUGAUGAAAGCAGAAAAACGAAACCAUCUUGAUAUGGUUUCUUGUGUUGAAUCAACAGACAGUGUUCAUGAUUUGUUGAAAAAUAGUAUCAUAUCUGAAAUCUAUUCUGCAAAUUCACAUUAAAUUGGUGAACUUGA